rnacentral:tRNA from 1 species
CGUUAGCAUAGUUUAACAAUAAAACACUAGGUUGUGACCCUAGAAAUAGAAAAAUUUUCUUGCAAACC